rnacentral:ncRNA from 2 species
UAGGUUACCAUCGGAAACGGUGCCCGAACGGGCUCAAAAGGGAAUCCGGUGCCGCAGGCUUGUCCUGCGAAUUCCGGAGCUGCCCCCGCAACUGUAAGCGGCCGUUCCGCCCCAUCUGACCCUCGAGGUCAGGGCCACUGUGCGGAUGCGCAUGGGAAGGCCGGGACCGGAACCAAGGCCGCAAGUCAGGAGACCUGCCGUUCCGGAGCCGCGAUC